GUGUCAGCCGCCGCGGUAAUACAGAGGUCCCGAGCGUUGUUCGGAUUUACUGGGCGUAAAGGGUGCGUAGGCGGUGGGGUAAGUUUGAGGUGAAAGCUCCGGGCUCAACCCGGAAAAUGCCUUGAAAACUAUCCGGCUAGAGGGUUGGAGGGGAGACUGGAAUUCUCGGUGUAGCAGUGAAAUGCGUAGAUCUCGAGAGGAACACCAGUGGCGAAGGCGGGUCUCUGGACAACACCUGACGCUGAGGCACGAAAGCCAGGGGAGCAAACGGGAUUAGAAACCCUCGUAGUCC
rnacentral:rRNA from 1 species